rnacentral:lncRNA from 1 species
GACAUAGAUAGUCUGGGCACCAGUGACUAUACAAGGCACAGAACUUCUAUGAUACAUGAUGCAAAUUAUCUGGAUGCCGCGGGACCCCAUGUGCAUUGGCAAUGGGCGUUCGGAAAGUCCUUUGUUUAGGUAAAAUAAACUCUCGAGGGCAUGCAGCGCAUCUAUCUUUGUUAAGGGUCGACGCUCAUAUUAGUCUAUCCUAAAGAAAACCGAAAGAUGAGAGAAGAAAGUAAGCUUCCUCUCUCUUCACCCCAGUGUUCUGCAGUGAAUAUUUUUCUGCUGUCUGACUACAGGCCAGAUGCCCUUUCCUAGCAACCCUAACAGAGGCGAUAGACAGAGGGACGGGCGGGGCAGGUAUCAGCAGCGAUCACUGAAAGGAAGCUGCCAAAAGCAACAAUUGCAAGCAAUAAUAGCAAAGUCCACGAGCUGAUUAGGAAAUUUCUGCACAGCGGCUGCCCCCAGGAGCUCUGCAACGCUCAUUCGGUUGCUCAGCCUUAACUCACUCCCUACGUCAUCAGCAUCGCUGUGGGAAGGCGAGGGGGUGAGACGGGACCGUGGUGGUGGUGGUGGUGGGGGUCUGUAUGUAUUAAUUAAAGUGAGGUGUAGCCUCGGCUGGAGGGCCUUGGGGUCCCUAAGGGGAUCACGCCUCGUGAGGCGGUAAAAUCUGCGCGCGCCAACUCUCUGAACUCGUGUCCGUCUGUUCACCAACUCUAAUCUGGAGACAUUGGGAGAGCGGCUAGGACUUAUCGCGUUCUAGUGUCUCAUGCAAGUAAGUCCUACUCCAGCAGGCUCCUGUCCUCUUGGUACCGGGAGACGUGAGCUGCCUCUAAGCAGACCCAUCUCCCAACAAGAAGCUCCUCACAAGGCUACUGUCCCGUCACCUGGGAGCAAACCCAUACCUGAAGAGCUAUUCCUCGUCCACGUCUGUGACAAACUGAGAGUGGUGUUCGGGUGACUUGGCGUGCGUUUUGCUCAGGUGGAGUUUUACUGCGUGUUUGCUCGCAAAUGUCCGACAGCACAACUUACACUUGAACUUAGAGUCUGUGUCCUCUUCGCCAGCUACGGUUUCCGGAGACCUCUGAGCCGACGACACCCGCGAGAUCUCUUGCUCCGCCUUGCCUUGCUGUUCUACCGCCAUGCGGGUCAUGUCCUUCAUUUGGAAACCCAGGUGGGACUCCAGGUGGCUGAUGUAGGUGGAAGGGGUUCUAAACUGGGAGGCACAGUCACUGCAAUAAAAGACGGGGUGUCCUUUGUCCAUGUUUUUCAGGAACUUUGUCCCGCCCGUUUUCCGAAGUUGGUACUUGACGUUUGCCAGCCAGUGGCUGAUCGUGGUCAUCGAGAGCCCCGUGAACUUCGAGAUUUGCAUUCGCUCUUGAGGGCCCAGGUCGGACAGCAGGUACUUGCCCUCGGACGUCUGGAACAGACUCGAGGCGAACUGCGCUUGUAGGAUCAGGAGGUGCUGAGGGUUCCAGUUGGACUGCCGGCCCUUCCUCUUAUGCAGGGUCGAGACCUCGCUGGAGACGUCCUCAAAGCGCCUGACAUCCAUUUCCAGCUUCAUGGGGGCGCCCCGCGAGGAAGCGGCGGGCUUUGGGGUGGUGGCCUUGGGGAGGACCUUGACCAUGUCGGCGAUGUCAGACAGGGCGUGCUUCUGAGGUGGGGACGUACAGGAUUGUGCUUGCGAGGACUCGGCUUUCUUGCUCUUGGACUUGGUCAGGUCGAUGGGCUGAUCGUUGCUCUCGAACAGGUAGCGCCUGGACACGCUGGCCGGCCGCGUGGGGGCAGGACUCAAGCCCGGCUUGUCCAUGACGCCGAGACUCGACUUGUGGAACAUCGACAUUGUGCUUGAGCUUGGGCUGGAGCAGGAAGGGGAGCGCAGGGGUUCCGUGGCCUUGCCCAGGUGAUUGUUCAGGACGGACUGCAGGGCGCUGAGUGGGUUGAUGCAUGGCAGGGCUGGGGCACGCGUGGGCAGGGCGCACCCGUUGCUGAGGGAGUGCGCUGGCUCGAGGGGCGGGCGUUUCUCGGGCUCGCCGCCCUCCUCCACCAGCCUGGCCUCCUCCUUCAGGAGACAAGGCUCAGCCUUCUUGGACUCGGAAGGGGUUUCGCUCUUGGAGAAAGCAUCCCCGUCGCAGUGGCUGAAAGGCGAGGCCUCUUCCUGGGGACUUUCUUUCCCACACUCCUUCGCGACCUCGUCUUUGUCGUCUGGCUCCUUCUUCACUUGAGUGUAUGGGGCCAGGUUGGUGGGCACAGAGACCAGCGGCAUUACUUUCCACUUUGGGGCAAUUGGCCUCAGCUUGUUGGUGAGGUUAGGGCGAAUCUGCAGGACCUGGGAUCCCAAGGGCAGGGCAGGCUUGGCGCCCUCCGACAGCUGAUAGGCCGCGUGGAUGCUGGGGUACGCGCUCCAGCUGGGAGCCCCGUUCUGGGCUUUGUUGAUGGCCGUGGUGACGGUGUUUUCCAACGACUUCAAAAUGUCCCCUCCGCCCUUGGAGCCGUCUUCCAAAUCCUCCUCCCUUAGAUACUGAUACUUCAUUGUAGGGUCUAACGGCUUCUGGAGAGCGUCUUCGUACUCCUCGCUCUUCAGGACUUUCUCGUCCUUGCUGAUCUCCUCCGGUUUUUCCUUUUUGCUCUCUCUCUUCGGCUCGGUUGUAGAGGCCGCACGGUCAGAGGCGGAGUCACCUGACGGCCUGGGAGCCAGCGAAUCGCUGUUUGGGGCGUCCGACAAAGCCUGCAUUUUCUCCACGGCCAGUGGGUCCAACACCAGCUGCUUCCCUUUCUUGGAGGCAGAGCUGGUGACCUUGAGAAAGUGCCCCGUGACCAUCAUGUGGGUGGUGAGCUGCUGCAGGGUGUCGUGGGAGCUGCCACACUCCAUGCACUUGAGGAUCUGGGACUUGCAGGCCUCAAACUGCCAGGUGUAGCUGGCGCCGUUCUGGUAGCCGUAGCGGUUGUUGGACGACAGCUGCAGGCCGGCCGUCUUCUGAGAGGAGAACGACUCCGCAAACGAGCCCGUGGUCGAGUCGGGGGAGCAAGGUCGGUUGACGUCGAAGACGCGCUUCUUGGCCGGGGUGACCGUUUUCGACGAAAUGGUGGGCACUGGCUCCUUCAAAGGCACUUUUUGGUAAUGUUUUGUUUUUAUCAUGUGGACGCUCAAAUCUUGGAGGGAGUCGAAGGAGUCGCCACAGAACAUGCAUUUCAGAACCUUCUGAGCAUCCUCCUUGUCCAUAUCCUGGAAAGCCCGUUUCCGGGGCUUGGAGUAGCCCGUGGGUCUCAGCUUGUCCUUUUUGCGGUUGUCGUCUUGGUAGUGGCCCGUCUCAUUCAUGUGCACGGUCAGCUCCACCAGGGUGUCGUAGGCGGCGCUGCACUGCCGGCACCGGAACCGGCUGGCCCCGGUGAACGCCGACCCGCACAUCUUGCCGCUCUGCCGGUACAGCUGCACCGAGCUGAACAGGCUGGGCUUCCCCACGGAUCGGGAAGGCAAGUUCUGCUGCAGGCUUUUGGACAGCGCGUCCUGAUGCCAGUCGAAGUCGGUCUUGCUGCUGCCGUUGCGCGGGUCGCAGGGCCGCCUCUCGCCGCCGGACAGCUUGAAGCCAAGGCCCAGGCCCGACCAGUAGGAGUCGGACAGGAUGUUGGCGUAGACGGCGGUCAUUUUAUCCAUGCAGUUGUGGCUUUCGUUGGGAGGCUUGGGGUGCGCGCUGGCUUUCUUGUCCGCGGCGUCUCGACCGCAGACGCUCUUGACGUCCGCCACCUGAUCGCUGGCAUCGCUCAGCAGAGACUCGUUCUCCACGUCCUGAUUGGACAGGUGGCUUCCCGGAGAGUUCUGGUAGCUGAAGCAGCCUUUCUGCUCGGGGCCCGUUUCUAGCUCCUCGUCUGUCCCCGGGUCAUUGCUGCCCUGAAGCGGAGCUACCGAACCACUGUCCUCCUCUUCCUCCUCUUCUUUUAUUUCCUCUCCUUCCUUCAGCUGCUCCUCCUGGGCGUAGCCUGCAAGAGA